CGUGCAGCCACUCGGGUGCGUUUGAGAUGCUGUGCAAAAAUCAGUUGAAAAAAUAUUUUCCAACCGCUAAGUGUUCCAGUUUUCUGUGUGCUGUGCUGUACAUCAAGAAAUAGUGAAAAAAGCAUUUCGUUCCAUUCGCUGUAUUCUGACCAAGUGGUUGUGACAAAGUUGUGAUACCUUGAGCGUAUUAGUGUGCUGACUAUUACCCGAUAAGCCAAAUACACUCGGGCUUCGUGGAGCGCAACUCCGGAGUAUCUUCUAGAGCGCCCUUGCCCCUUCCUUGCUGUCGUUACCCAUAACUGUUAGCUGGAGACAUUUUUAUAUCGGUAUCGUAUGACAAACUAGUGUCAAAGUGUUUCCUGCACCCCUUACCGUGGAGAUGUGCGUCAGUGAAGUGCGACGAGAAGGUUAG